rfam:Pseudomonas alcaligenes NBRC 14159 DNA, contig: PA6008.
GCCCAGGUAGCUCAGUCGGUAGAGCAGGGGAUUGAAAAUCCCCGUGUCGGCGGUUCGAUUCCGUCCCUGGGCA